UAAAAGAAAAGAAAUAAUCUUUAAAAUAAAACAAGAAAUUUAUAGAAUAAGAUAAUCUACAAAGAAAAUAAUAAAAGUAAGAAUAAAAGGAAUUAGAAUAUAAGAAGAAAGAAAAAGUAUAAUAAAAUAUUACUUUGGAUAGUUUAGUUUCCUGUGCGAUGAAGAACGCAAUGAAUUGCGAUAAGUGAUAGGAACAAUAAAUGUGGAUAUCCAAACUUUGAAUGCUUGAAAGUAUACUUAUGAACUUCAAGGUAUAUAUGAUAUUCAAUAUCCAAAAUAAAAGCGUAUAUUAAAAGCAAAUAUUAGUAGAAGUGAGAAGUAGCUAGUGGGUAAAAGAGAGAAGAAGUAAAGAGCUUUAACCAGAUAUCUAUAAGUGAGUUAAUAAAUAAAGAUUUGAGUAUCGUAAGAGGACUCCCUUAACUU
rnacentral:rRNA from 1 species